AUGCCAGUCAGUCAAUUCCAAAGUACUCUCUCUAUCUUCUCUCUCCCCCUGCCCCCACCCCUCUCUCUCUCUCUCUCUCUCUCUCUCUCUCUCUCUCUAUCUUCUCUCUCCCCCUGCCCCCCACCCCUCUCUCUCUAUCUUCUCUCUCCCCCUGCCCCCCACCCCCCUCUCUCUCUCUCUCUAUCUUCUCUCUCCCCCUGCUCCCACCCCUCUCUCUCUCUCUCUCUAUCUUCUCUCUCCCCCUGCCCCCCACCCCUCUCUCUCUAUCUUCUCUCUCCCCUGCCCCCACCCCUCUCUCACAUCUCCCCUGCCCCCACCCCUCUCUCACUCUCUCUCUCUUUCUCUCUCCCCCUGCCCCCACCCCCCUCUCUCUCUCUCUAUCUUCUCUCUCCUCCUGCCCCCCACCCCUCUCUAUCUCCCCCUGCCCCCACCCCCCUCUCUCUCUCUCUCUCUCUCUCUCUCUCUAUCUUCUCUCUCCCCCUGCCCCCCACCCCUCUCUCUCUCUAUCUUCUCUCUCCCCCUGCCCCCCACCCCUCUCUAUCUCCCCCUGCCCCCACCCCUCUCUCUCUUCUCUCUCCCCUGCCCCCCACCCCUCUCUCUAUCUUCUCUCUCCCCCUGCCCCCCACCCCUCUCUAUCUCCCCCUGCCCCCACCCCUCUCUCUAUCUUCUCUCUCCCCUGCCCCCCACCCCUCUCUCUAUCUUCUCUCUCCCCCUGCCCCCCACCCCUCUCUCUCUCUCUCUCUCUCUCUCUUCUCUCUCCCCCCACCCCUCUCUCUCUCUCUCUUCUCUCUCCCCCUGCCCCCACCCACCCCUCUCUCUUCUCUCUAUCUUCUCUCUCCCCUGCCCCCCACCCCCCUCUCUCUCUCUCUCUCUCUCUCUAUCUCUCUCCCCCUGCCCCCACCCCUCUCUCUCUCUUCUCUCUCCCCCUGCCCCCACCCCUCUCUCUCUCUCUUCUCUCUCCCCCUGCCCCCACCCCUCUCUCUAUCUUCUCUCUCCCCCUGCCCCCCGCCCCUCUCUCUCUCUCUCUCUUCUCUCUCCCCCUGCCCCCACCCUCUCUCUCUCUCUCGCUCUCUCCCCCUGCCCGCCACCCCUCUCUCUCUCUCUCUCUCUCUCUCUCUCUGUCUCUCUCUAUCUUCUCUCUCCCCCUGCCCCCCCCUCUCUCUCUCCCCCUGCCCGCCACCCCUCUCUCUCUCUCUCUGUCUCUCUCUGUCUCUCUCUGUCUUCUCUCUCCCCCUGCCCCCCACCCCUCUCUCUCGCUCUGAAAGAAGUGUGACUCAGCUGAGCCAGUGGAGCUCAUAUUCCUGUUGUUAUGGAACAAAACCUGAAUUAGUGAAAGGGAAAGAAAAAAAGAGAGAGAGCCAGAGAGAGAGAGAAAGUAGGGCAUUCUCAGCAUUAGAGACAGCAACAGUCAACAUUACGUUUUACGCAACUUAA
rnacentral:lncRNA from 1 species